UACGUAGGGUGCAAGCGUUGUCCGGAAUUAUUGGGCGUAAAGAGCUCGUAGGCGGUCUGUUGCGUCGGCUGUGAAAUCCCGAGGCUCAACCUCGGGUCUGCAGUCGAUACGAGCAAACUAGAGUGUUGCAGGGGAGACUGGAAUUCCUGGUGUAGCGGUGAAAUGCGCAGAUAUCAGGAGGAACACCGGUGGCGAAGGCGGGUCUCUGGGCCAUAACUGACGCUGAGACGAAGAACGUGGGGGAGCAAACAGG
rnacentral:rRNA from 1 species